GACGAACGCUGGCGGCGUGCUUAACACAUGCAAGUCGAACGGAAAGGCCCUGCUUUUGUGGGGUGCUCGAGUGGCGAACGGGUGAGUAACACGUGAGUAACCUGCCCUUGACUUUGGGAUAACUUCAGGAAACUGGGGCUAAUACCGGAUAGGAGCUCCUGCUGCAUGGUGGGGGUUGGAAAGUUUCGGCGGUUGGGGAUGGACUCGCGGCUUAUGAGCUUGUUGGUGGGGUAGUGGCUUACCAAGGCUUUGACGGGUAGCCGGCCUGGGAGGGUGACCGGCCACAUUGGCCCUGGGAUACGGCCCAGACUCCUACGGGAGGCAGCAGUGGGGAAUAUUGCACAAAGCGCGGAAGCCUGAUGCAGCAACGCCGGGUGCGGGAUGACGGCCUUCGGGUUGUAAACCGUUUUCGCCUGUGACGAAGCGUGAGUGACGGUAAUGGGUAAAGAAACACCGGCUAACUACUU
rnacentral:rRNA from 1 species